CCUACGGGUGGCAGCAGUGGGGAAUAUUGGACAAUGGGCGAAAGCCUGAUCCAGCCAUGCCGCGUGUGUGAAGAAGGCCUUCGGGUUGUAAAGCACUUUCAGUGGGGAAGAAAGCCUUGGGGCUAAUACCCUCGAGGAAGGACAUCACCCACAGAAGAAGCACCGGCUAACUCCGUGCCAGCAGCCGCGGUAAUACGGAGGGUGCGAGCGUUAAUCGGAAUUACUGGGCGUAAAGCGCGCGUAGGCGGUCUGAUAAGCCGGUUGUGAAAGCCCCGGGCUCAACCUGGGAACGGCAUCCGGAACUGUCAGGCUAGAGUGCAGGAGAGGAAGGUAGAAUUCCCGGUGUAGCGGUGAAAUGCGUAGAGAUCGGGAGGAAUACCAGUGGCGAAGGCGACCUUCUGGACUGACACUGACGCUGAGGUGCGAAAGCGUGGGUAGCAAACAGGAUUAGAUACCCUUGUAGUC
rnacentral:rRNA from 1 species